rnacentral:rRNA from 1 species
GAUGAACGCUAGCGGCAGGCCUAACACAUGCAAGUCGAGGGGUAGACAUCUUCGGAUGUUGAGACCGGCGCACGGGUGCGUAACGCGUAUGCAAUCUACCUUAUACUAAGGGAUAGCCCAGAGAAAUUUGGAUUAAUACCUUAUGGUUAAUUAAAAAGGCAUCUUUUUAAUUAUAAAGAUUUAUUGGUAUAAGAUGAGCAUGCGUCCCAUUAGUUAGUUGGUAAGGUAACGGCUUACCAAGACGAUGAUGGGUAGGGGUCCUGAGAGGGAGAUCCCCCACACUGGUACUGAGACACGGACCAGACUCCUACGGGAGGCAGCAGUGAGGAAUAUUGGUCAAUGGAGGCAACUCUGAACCAGCCAUGCCGCGUGCAGGAUGAAGCAUCUAUGGUGUGUAAACUGCUUUUGUACGGGAAGAAAAAAAGCUACGUGUAGCUUACUGACGGUACCGUAAGAAUAAGGAUCGGCUAACUCCGUGCCAGCAGCCGCAGUAA